rnacentral:rRNA from 1 species
UACAGAGGUCUCAAGCGUUGUUCGGAAUUCAUUGGGCGUAAAGGGUGCGUAGGCGGCGCGGUAAGUCGGGUGUGAAAUUUCGAGGCUUAACUUCGAAACUGCAUUCGAUACUGCCGUGCAUUGAGGACUGGAGAGGAGGACUGGGAAUUUACGGUGUAGCGGUGAAAUGCGUAGAUAUCGUAAGGAAGACCAGUGGCGAAGGCGGGUCUCCUGGACAGUUCCUGACGCUGAGGCACGAAGGCCAGGGAGCAAACGGG